rnacentral:rRNA from 1 species
GAACCAGUACCGUGAGGGAAAGGUGAAAAGAACCCUGAAUAAGGGAGUGAAAUAGACCCUGAAACCAUACGCUUACAAGCGGUCGGAGCUGAUUUAUCAGUGACGGCGUGCCUUUUGCAUAAUGAGCCUACGAGUUACCGUUGCUAGCAAGGUUAAACACUUCAGGUGUGGAGCCGUAGCGAAAGCGAGUCUGAAUAGGGCGCUAUAGUUAGUAGUGGUAGACGCGAAACCGUGUGAUCUACCCAUGGGCAGGUUGAAGCUGUGGUAACACACAGUGGAGGACCGAACCGGUUGACGUUGAAAAGUCUUCGGAUGACCUGUGGGUAGGGGUGAAAGGCCAAUCAAGCUCGGAAAUAGCUCGUACUCCCCGAAAUGCAUUUAGG